rnacentral:rRNA from 1 species
AGGAAGUAAAAGUCGUAACAAGGUCUCCGUUGGUGAACCAGCGGAGGGAUCAUUACCGAGUUUACAACUCCCAAACCCAAUGUGAACGUUACCAAACUGUUGCCUCGGCGGGAUCUCUGCCCCGGGUGCGUCGCAGCCCCGGACCAAGGCGCCCGCCGGAGGACCAACCAAAACUCUUAUUGUAUACCCCCUCGCGGGUUUUUUUAUAAUCUGAGCCUUCUCGGCGCCUCUCGUAGGCGUUUCGAAAAUGAAUCAAAACUUUCAACAACGGAUCUCUUGGUUCUGGCAUCGAUGAAGAACGCAGCGAAAUGCGAUAAGUAAUGUGAAUUGCAGAAUUCAGUGAAUCAUCGAAUCUUUGAACGCACAUUGCGCCCGCCAGUAUUCUGGCGGGCAUGCCUGUCCGAGCGUCAUUUCAACCCUCGAACCCCUCCGGGGGGUCGGCGUUGGGGAUCGGCCCUGCCUUGGCGGUGGCCGUCUCCGAAAUACAGUGGCGGUCUCGCCGCAGCCUCUCCUGCGCAGUAGUUUGCACACUCGCAUCGGGAGCGCGGCGCGUCCACAGCCGUUAAACACCCAACUUCUGAAAUGUUGACCUCGGAUCAGGUAGGAAUACCCGCUGAACUUAAGCAUAUCAAU